rnacentral:rRNA from 1 species
UACGUAGGGGGCAAGCGUUGUCCGGAGUUACUGGGCGUAAAGCGCACGCAGGCGGUCUUUUAAGUUUGGAGUGACAGUCUUCGGCUUAACUGGAGAAGGCCUCUGAAAACUGCCGGACUUGAGGGCAGAGAGGGACAUAGAAUUCCGGGUGGAGUGGUGAAAUGCGUAGAUAUCCGGAGGAAUACCAAAGGCGAAGGCAGUGUCCUGGCUGGCAUCUGACGCUGAGGCGCGAAAGCUAGGGGAGCGAACAGG